UGAGGAAUAUUGCGCAAUGGGCGAAAGCCUGACGCAGCGACGCCGCGUGGAGGAUGAAGGUUUUCGGAUUGUAAACUCCUGUUAAGUGGGAAGAAAAGUUUGUGGUUAAUACCCGCAGAAAAUGACGGUACCAUUAUAGAAAGCACCGGCUAACUACGUGCCAGCAGCCGCGGUAAUACGUAGGGUGCUAGCGUUAUUCGGAAUUACUGGGCGUACAGGGUGCGUAGGCGGCUUAUUAAGUCAGUUGUUAAAGACCCCGGCCUAACUGGGGAAAGGCGAUUGAAACUGAUAGGCUAGAGGUUGGGAGAGAGGAGUGGAAUUCUCGGAGUAGCGGUAAAAUGCGUAGAUAUCGAGAGGAACACCGAUGGCGAAGGCAGCUCCUUGGCCCAAUCCUGACGUUGAGGCACGAAAGCGUGGGUAGCAAACAGGAUUAGAUACCCUGGUAGUCCACGCCGUAAACGAUGAUCACUAGACGUUGGUUUUGCUUAG
rnacentral:rRNA from 1 species